CUCCUGACUGAUUUACAGUAACCUUUCAACAAGGUCAAACUUAAGAUGAUAACUAUCUCCUUGUGACAUCUUGGACGGAUUGAAUUACGCAGAAAAACUAAAUUAUUUGCGGAAAAUGUCACUUUGUUUACACACCACCAAAGACAAUCGGUGUCUCAGGUCACCGAUGGGUGGCUUAUUUGUAAACAAAAGCACGUGACACAAAUUUUAAUUUACAAGUGCUAGCCAAAUACCAUUUGGCCCAUCGUCGCCCAAGCAAAUUUGCAAUGCAAUUGAGUAUGGACCGCUAAAUAACAAUAGCCUUGGAGGUUGUUAAUCUAAAUUGAAUAUCAGUUGCCGCACCUAGGCCUAUAUUUCGUUGAAGGGUACAAGGAAGGCCUCCUAUAUCAAGCCUCUGGGAAUAGGUUUACAGUCAAAUAUAUAUAAUUUUGAUAAUUUCUUUAAUGGGUUUAUUGCUCUUGAACAAUGGAAAGAAGAACAGUCAAUCUUAUUACAUGUAGAUACAUGCCAAAGUCACGACGUUUCCUUACCGAUUUUACAGUAAUACUAGUACCAGCAUGACUGUGCUGCCAGCUAUUAAUAGAUAGGUAGUCUUGCUCUAACCACACCUCCCAAUCAGUGCGUUGCAGAUUCGAGCAUUGUCCGAGACUAGCAUCACUGCCAUGUUUCGAUAUUCUUUAACUUUCUUGAUGGAUUGAUUACACACCAAAGAUAUGGGAUUGGGCCAAGACAACAGAAUGUCCACAGCCAAAGAGUUGCGAAGACCUAAUAUGGGAGGACAAUCUCAUUGCAGUCUUUCUGAAGGCACCUGUGUUGGGACAUGGGCUUCUCUGCAAGAAGAUAGUUUGUUGUCAGACAAGGGCUUGUGAGGAUGAAUACGAUUAUUGCUGUUCCAUCCUCUCCCUGACAUCAGCCAAUGUCCAAAGCCAGCAGUGAAUGUCAAUCCUAAAGUCUCCUCCUUAUGGAUAUACGCACAACGACAGUGGAUCGGUAUUUCAGUGUUUCAGUGUGUCAUCGGUCAGUGUCUCCCGUAUUUCAGUGUUUCCCUAUUGUUACUCUAUUCGCGGAUAAGCCAGUGGUGAUCAGGUCGGCAGAAAAACUAGUUCUUCAAUCUCGAUUACCAUGGAUACAGAAUUCGUAUGAAUAAAUUAUGACGCAUGUGCCAAAUAUGGGAAGCAAAAUGGCGUUGCCUGGUGUGUAAAAAAUAAAUCACGUUUCUCAGUGGAAAAGGAAGAUCACGUGGUAUUGUUCGGUCACGUGAAUGUUGCGAGAUUUUAUUCAAAAUGUUGCCAUGUUUUUUUCAAGUGUUGCCUGUAUAUUUCAAAAUGUUGUAUUAAA